rnacentral:rRNA from 1 species
UACAGAGGUGGCAAGCGUUGUUCGGAAUUACUGGGCGUAAAGGGCGCGUAGGCGGCCUUCUAAGUCAGACGUGAAAUCCCCAGGCUUAACUUGGGAACUGCGUCUGAUACUGGGAGGCUUGAGUGCGGGAGAGGGAUGUGGAAUUCCAGGUGUAGCGGUGAAAUGCGUAGAUAUCUGGAGGAACACCUGCGGCGAAGGCGGGUUGCUGGGCCGACACUGACGCUGAGGCGCGAAAGCCAGGGGAGCGAACGGG